UUACCUUUUGUAUUGCAGUCAAAAGUUGAAAAAGUUACACACAAUAUAUGGAAAAGUUAUUACAAAAAAAAUUGAUGUUUUCCCUCCACGAGUGCCAUUUGAAGUCGUUGUUUUAACAAUUUUUUCAUCCGAAUUUUUUAAUUGAAUUGCACUCUACGUUUCCAUCAGUUUUAUGAUCGCCACAAAGUUUAUGAACCUAAUUUGAGUUCAUGGAAAUGUCAGGUACACAUGUCCAUGAGUACCUUCUGCAAAUAUAAAAAGAAUAAAAACCAUUCAAAAUGACUGCAAAAAUAAAUGGGAAUGGCAAUGGUCAUACCUUAUAAAUAAUUGCUUGCCAUUGAAAGUAGAUAUGAUUUGUAUGGCACAAAAUGGACACCUAGACUUUUUACCCCAAAUUCAAAGGAUGGGAUUAAUGAGCGCUCAAUGCACUCUCCAAUUAAAAUGCAACUGCCACGUAACUUAUACUGCCAUAGAUUGGAACAAUCCAGAGGGAUAUGUCCCAGUCGAGAGAUUCCAAUAGCACAUUCCUUCUUGUUAGUUGUCGCUCUCAACUUUGUAAUCAUUAAGCGUGAUAUGUGCAAACAGGCAGAUGAAAAUCGGCUGAAAUCGGAAAAAUACAUGCAUACUACAUGGGCGUUUUCAUGGUGGGGGGGAGAUUACCACUGGAGGAGCAUAAAUCAGAUGUUAUUACGCGUAGCCUGCCUGCAAAUGGCAAUAAAUGGCAGCUAAUUAAAGUUCUCCAAUAAUUGGCGAAUUUAUACACUCGAAAUCCGUUUUUUCGCAUUCGGUUUGAUUUAAGAAAUUUGCAUAAAAUAAACAUUGGCAUUUACGAGUAAAUCACGCCGUAUUUUUACAAUCUAAAAAAGACGAACAAAAGUCGCG